UCGAUGUUCUUUUUUUCUGCGAUGCGAGCAUGCCCCCGCUUUCCUCCCUAACUCCCUCCCCCGCUUUCCCCUAUCUCCACCAGGGCGCGCCGCCAGCACAGGAUCCCGGUGGGUCAGCUAGCUCCCCCUGCGUGCUGCACACCAUGCCUCGCCGCCCCGCCCAGGAUCCGUUGGUCGAUCCCCUCGCCCCUCCAUCUCUCUCCGCCAUGCCUCUAUUGGUCGAUCCCCUCUCCGCUCCAUCUCUCUCUGCCAUGCCUCACUACCAAGUCGGCACCCACCCUUCCUCCCAUUGCACACCACUCCUUCCACAACAGCCACCUCCUUCCCUCCUCUCCCCUUCACUCUCAUCCAUACUUAUGGAGCCUGCCACGGCUACUUCACAACGAAGUAGCGGCCAGUGGUGUCAUGGUUGGGGAUCAGUGUUGGACUGCUCAGCCAUGGACCCGCUUCUACCCAUCCCAACUUGGUGCCGACGUCGGCAAGCACCUCCUGCCUCGGAUGCCGUCUCGGCUAAUCCAGCACAAAUUUAUGCACUUCCCUCUUGGUUAUUAAUUGGCUGGUGACGACAACGAGCUUCGGACUACGGUGACGCUAUCCGUCGACUUGAAGGUAUUGUACUCAGUACUCUGUUCAUCGCAACUCGCAAGCCCAUUGCUUCCAUCGGGCACUGGCCCACCCUGUGUAUCUUCCAUGGUCACGAUGGAUAGCAAACAGCCAGCUGAAUAAUUGAUGUUGGACGCUCCCUCUCCUAAUAAUGUUCCAGGCGCUUCACUUCCUCUCCCCACCAUCUCCACAAGAAACUGAUGGAUUUCUCUUUAAAGUCUGCUCGGCCUCACCUCAUUUCCUUCCCAUCAGGUACCGCGUGCUCAACUAUGCCCGAGUGGUCAUCUUCAUUGGGGUUCCCUCACUACAAACACAAGCGCAUUUGGUUUCUGCCUCCUACCGAGGAGACAAUCAAACAGGAAGGGUCUUACUAUUCAUGCCACAUGUUAACAUGUGGAGAAGACAAUCAUACAGGAAAGGUUUUCAUUACUGGAUAAUAAUUGAAUGCAUCGAGUUUAUCUUUGUCUUUUCUCCUUUCUCCUUAAAACCACCAGAGUACCCUUGCUCAAUGUGUAUGAGUUCACGAGGGUACUUUUAGUCAUAAAUCUGUAAAUACCAAACUGUGUUUGUACUACAUUUUGAAUGUUAACAUCAGGAUCUCUAUUAUAAUCACACGAAAUGGAACGCCAUGGCAAAUUACACUCCCUGGACAGUAGUUUAUUUUAUUUUAAUUUUUUAUUUAACUGGGCCACACUAAUGACAGUACUGUGAAUGACCAUUCCAACCAACUCUUUUCUUUGCUAGGACCCAAACAAACAAUCACCAUGCCCAAAUCUUACAUACAUGUGCCAUAUUAAUAUGUACAUUAACCUGCUAACUAAAACCACAAUAUAAAUACCAUCUAUAACUUUUCUACAUAUUCACUGCUAUAUUUGUGGUGUAUUAACUAUUUUAAAAACAAUAUAUAUCGGUUACAUGUUUUUAUGACGGCCACACAUCUAUAUAUAACAACACCCAUAUCAUUGUUCAUUGUAUCCCUACAAGUUCAUCUUCCCUACAAAUAAAUAUUGGCUUUUGCAAGUACUCCCUCCGUUCCGAAUUAGUUGUCUUGGAUUUGUCUAGAUACGGAUGUAUCUAGACUCAUUUUAGUGCUACAUACAUCCGUAUCUAGACAAAUCCAAGACAAGUAAUUCGGAACGGAGGGAGUACAUGGACAACCAAUAGGAAGCUAACAGCAUGCAAUCUGAUGCACCAAGAAAAGUUCCGCCACCUUCAGCAACACAUCCAACAAGAGAAGCACACAAAAAGUACAUAGAGGCUAUUACAAACAAGAAGAAUGCUACGAAACUGCCAACAACCAGCGCCUGUUUCAAGACGAUGAUACGUCUCCAACGUAUCUAUAAUUUUUGAUUGCUCCAUGCUAUAUUAUCUACUGUUUUGGACAUUAUUGGGCUUUAUUAUCCACUUUUAUAUUAUUUUUGGGACUAACCUAUUAAUCGGAGGCCCAGCCCAGAAUUGCUGUUUU